AGAAACCAACCGGGAUUGCCUUAGUAACGGCGAGUGAAGCGGCAAAAGCUCAAAUUUGAAAUCUGGUACCUUCGGUGCCCGAGUUGUAAUUUGGAGAGGGCAACUUUGGGGCCGUUCCUUGUCUAUGUUCCUUGGAACAGGACGUCAUAGAGGGUGAGAAUCCCGUGUGGCGAGGAGUGCGGUUCUUUGUAAAGUGCCUUCGAAGAGUCGAGUUGUUUGGGAAUGCAGCUCUAAGUGGGUGGUAAAUUCCAUCUAAAGUAAAUAUUGGCGAGAGACCGAUAGCGAACAAGUACAGUGAUGGAAAGAUGAAAAGAACUUUGAAAAGAGAGUGAAAAAGUACGUGAAAUUGUUGAAAGGGAAGGGCAUUUGAUCAGACAUGGUGUUUUGUGCCCUCUGCUCCUUGUGGGUAGGGGAAUCUCGCAUUUCACUGGGCCAGCAUCAGUUUUGGUGGCAGGAUAAAUCCAUAGGAAUGUAGCUUGCCUCGGUAAGUAUUAUAGCCUGUGGGAAUACUGCCAGCUGGGACUGAGGACUGCGACGUAAGUCAAGGAUGCUGGCAUAAUGGUUAUAUGC
rnacentral:rRNA from 1 species